rnacentral:misc_RNA from 1 species
AGGAAAUAAAUUCGCUGACCAAAAGCAACAAAAAAAAAAACAGCGCGCGUGUUUGUUUGUGUGUGUUUGUGCGAAAUGUGGAGAAAUGUCAUUGUCAGCAGCUGCAGACUCUGACGUCUAGACCAGCAAAGUAAGGGUCUGAAGCAGAGGAGGAGGGAAGUUCCAGAAGGAGGCAGCAGCAGACCUGGGAGCAGAGAAGCAGCAGCAUCCAAAAGCCGCAGCUUGAAUCCAAACUUCAAAGAGAGUGAAAGAAACAGCAAGAGAAAGAGCUGCAGCUUCAAAGAGAAUUUGAGUGAAAGGAAAAGCAACAACAAAACAGUUAAACUGUUAAACACCAGCCAAAGAAGAGGCAAAGCAACAGCGGAAAAACAACACCAGCAAAGAGGAAAGGCGAAGAGGAACAUCAGCAACACACAAAAGAAGGAGCCACGACUAAGAGAACGAAAAAUACCAACAGAAACAACUAAGAGAAACGGAGAAAUUCCUGUUUUAUGCUUCCGAACUUUUCAAGGAAUUUCUUAAACCAGAUCUUUAUUCAGGUAAUAAACAAAGUCCUCCAUCAACCUCAAGUCAAGGUGCGCGAAUUCAAGUUAAGAGUCCACAAAAACAGAGAGGGAAACAAACCAUAUCUUGUCGGACAACGCCCAACGUUUAGGCCUGUCCGUAAAAGAAAAUAACUCCUGAAAAAUACUGCGUCUCGUUUGCUAUUUUGAAUGCUGCAUUUGGUAAAGUUUUGAGCUGGAAAUGAUGGGAUAUUUAAAUGAUUUAACGAUCAACUUGGACUUAUAUUAUGUUUCCAUUCAAAUUGGUUUUUAUUUUUUUUUUUAAGAUUUUUAUGUGUGUUUUCCCAAAGAGUUCUGAUUUCUUUAGCGAAAUACAAUUAAAUAGAAUUUUUACCAGAUAAAUUAAAGGGCGUAUCCCUUAAAUUUCAUUACCAAAACUCCACACAACUUCCUGUAGAUUUCCUGAAUCGAUGGAGGCCAGGCUGGGCAGCCCCCACAACGGCUCGGGGCAUUGAAUGCUCCACUUUGCAUACAGUAUGCAUUGCGUGUGUCUGUUUUUUUUGGGAGACAAUUUCUUGUUCCAGGUGGCUGCCGCACCAUCGCCGCUUCGAAAGCUCUGCAUAUCCAUCCAAAUUAGCAAUGAUAUAUUUUAUGUGUGGGCGCACCUUCGAUGAGGGCAAAAUGUGGAAUGUGGAGUUGCACUUACACAAAAUUACACAGUUGCUGGUGUCUCUCUGUCUCUCCCCCAGGUGUCUUUUCUGUCUUUCUUUGAAACUCCCACAAGCAACCAGCAACCACCAAAAAAAAAACAAAAACAAAAAACUAAUACUCCAAACUGUCUUUCGGUUGAACAUGCAACUACAUAAAAUACCAAAGAACAUACAUAAACCAGUUAAAGGACUUUUAUGGAUGUUGCGGCUAAUGAGAUACCCUGUAGUUUUGAUUUUUUCAUGGAGUUUUAAGAGUUUUACAGUCGCAAACUCUGGGAAUCGCAAACAGAUUAAUUGCCUAUGAAUAUAUCCCUCUUUUCACAUAAUUUGUUAUCCAAUUUUGUUGAUUUUUGUUAGAUGAAUAGAUUGAGGCUUUAUUUAUGAUUAUAGAACAUUUUAGAACAUUAUCGUUGAUAUUAGAGAUGCCACAACUAUUUCUAGAUGUUGGU